rnacentral:rRNA from 1 species
CAACACUGUAAGCCACUACAAUGGCGCUGCAGAAACUCUUCUAUAUCUCACUUUUCCUGCUAGUAUGCACAGCCAAGGAGAUCAACCCCGAAGCGGAGGCACUACUCCGAUGGAAGUCCAGUUUGAUCCGUGCCAACUCGCUGUCCUCCUGGUCGAUAUCCUAUCCGACAUGUUCUUGGUUUGGGGUCACUUGUGAUGCUUCAGGGCAUGUUACCGAGCUCCGCCUUCCCAUCGCGAGCCUUCAUGGUACGCUACACACCUUAUACUCUCCAGUGCUCCAAAACCUCACUGUGCUUGACCUUGGCACAAAUAACCUUGGUGGUGUUGUCCCAGCAAAUAUCUCUCUAUUUCACACCCUCACCGUUCUGAACUUGAGCAACAACAAUCUUGUUGGUGCCAUCCCCUAUCAACUCAGCAAGCUACCAAUGAUUAUCAAAUUGGAUUUGGGAAAUAACAACCUGACCAACCCAGAAUAUGCCAAUUUCUCACCGAUGUCCACUUUAAAGCUGUUAUCUUAGCUAAUAACGAUCUCAGUGGUACCUUCCCACAAUUCAUUCUCAACUGCACCCAUCCGAGGAUGAGGUUCCUCGAUUUAUCAGGUAACGCCUUCUCCGGGCCAUUACCAGAUUCACUCCAGAGAUUGUCCCAAGGUUGAGGUAUCUAAAUCUGUCCGCUAAUUUAUUCUCUGGCUCCAUACCUUGCUCACUCUCAAGGCUCCAAAAGCUAGAGAUACUAUGUCUCGGGAGAAAUAAUCUCACAGGAGGAAUCCCAGAGGUGUUGGGGAUGAUACCUGGACUCCGAACCCUUAUACUAUACAGUAACCCACUUGGUGGAUCAAUCCCAGCCUCACUCGGGCAGCUUCAGUUGCUGGAGACGCUCGGCAUCGGAAAUGCUAGCUUGGUUUCUACUCUUCCGCCCCAGCUGGGGAACCUUACCAGUCUCAAGAUCAUGGUACUGAACGAGAAUCAUUUAUUCGGAACUUUGCCACCAUCAUUUGCCAGGAUGCAGGAAUUGCAAGAAUUUGUAAUAGAGGAGAACAGUAUCAGUGGUACCAUUCCACAAGAGAUGUUUACAAACUGGACCAAGCUCAAGUACUUUGAUGUAAAUCACAACUUGUUAGCUGGAAGCAUCCCUUCUCAGAUCAGCGAGUGGAAGGAGCUACUGUGUCUCCUCCUCUCCCACAACAACUUUACUGGCUCGAUCCCAGUGGAGCUGGGAAGCAUGCCAAACUUGCAAGCAUUGGACUUGUCGAAUAACCACCUUACUGGAAUUAUGCCAUCAAAUAUCGGUAAUGCAUCAUCUUUGAAACUCCUUGGCGUCAGCUUCAACCAUCUUGAGGGUGAGAUUCCUGCGACCAUCUCCUCGCUGGUAAACCUUGUUGCUCUCUUCUUGUCUGACAACAAGUUUACGGGUAUCGGUCCUAAUCUUGACAGCAAGCAGUUGCCAGUUGUCAAAGUGGCCAAUAAUAGUGGCUUCUUGGGAAAACCAUUGUGUGCCUUUUGCCAACUAACACUUCUGCGAAUCUUGGAUCUAUCGAACAAUCAGUUGUUUGGUGAGCUUCCUGGUUGCUUGUGGAAUUUGAGAGAUCUACAAUUCUUGGAUUUGUCGAGCAAUGCUUUUGCUGGGGUAGUUCCAACCUCAGCUAACUACAAUUCUUCGCUAAGUUUGUUGCACUUGUCCAACAACAAUUUCACAGGUUCCUUUCCAGCAGUGUUGAAGAACUUCAAAAGCCUUGUUAUUUUGGAUCUUGGGAACAAUAAGAUGUCUGGUGCACUCCCUCCGUGGAUAGGAGAAAGCAAUCCUUUGCUGAGGAUUCUUAGACUGCGAUCAAACAUGUUCCAUGGAAGUAUUCCCAGGCAGCUACUAAAACUCUCUCAUCUCCAACUCCUUGAUCUCGCUGAAAAUACUUUUGUAGGUUCUAUAACAGAAAAUUUUAUCAACUUCUCCUCGAUGAGUCAGGCAUCCAUGAUGCAGCCGGUUCCAACAACUUACAUAGAAUUGAGACCCUUCCGAUUUGCUGGUGAUGGCAGCAUAGGUAUACUUUGGAAGAGACGGGAGUACACCUUUGACGAAAGAUAUCUAUUUGUGACUGGCAUUGAUCUCUCCGGCAAUUCUCUCUCUGGUGAAAUCCCUUCAGAGUUGAAAAAUCUUAGAGGCGUCCAGUUACUAAAUAUGUCAAGAAAUAAUCUAUCUGGUGGUAUCCCGAAGGACAUUGGCAAUCUCAAACUGUUAGAAUCCCUUGACCUCUCAUGGAAUAAACUGUCUGGUCCUAUUCCUCCUAGCAUGUCGAACUUGAAGUUCCUGAGCUCUCUUAACCUCUCAAACAACCGUCUAUCAGGCGAGAUACCUACAGGAAGUCAGCUCCAGACACUUGAGGACCCAUCGAUCUAUAGCAAUAACCUCAGACUUUGUGGUCCACCAUUGAGCAUUCCAUGUACAAACAAUUCAGAUACUACGACACCAGCGGAUGGGGCAAAGGAACAUCACCAUGAACUUGAAACAUUAUGGCUCUACUACUCAGUGAUUGCUGGAACUAUUUUCGGUUUUUGGGUAUGGUGUGGAGCACUGUUUUUCUGCAAGAUCUGGAGGUUUGCUUUCUUCAGCUGCGUCGAUGCGCUGCACCAAAAGUUUAUACUGAAGAUGAAGCGCACCUGACAAGUAGGGCACUCUGCUUUGUCCUAGCGCCUCAUUGUGUUUCCUGAAGUUUCCUCAUGCUUGCAGUAUUUGCAAUGGACGUAUAUGUAUUGUCCAUGACUCUGCUAUAUGUUUCUUUAAGUUGUAAUAGUAAUGAUCAGUUGCUAUCUGACCAGAGGUGGCUUAUAUUUGUUGUCUAUUUGAUGAGACAAUUUCAUACACUUGUAA